AACUGCGAUAAGUAAUGUGAAUUGCAGAAUUCAGUGAAUCAUCGAGUCUUUGAACGCACAUUGCGCCCCCUGGCAUUCCGGGGGGCAUGCCUGUCCGAGCGUCAUUGCUGCCCUUCAAGCCCGGCUUGUGUGUUGGGUCGUCGUCCCCUCCGGGGGACGGGCCCGAAAGGCAGCGGCGGCACCGCGUCCGGUCCUCGAGCGUAUGGGGCUUUGUCACCCGCUCGAUAAGGACCGGCCGGGCGCCAGCCGGCGUCUCCAACCGUUUUUUCUCAGGUUGACCUCGGAUCAGGUAGGGAUACCCGCUGAACUUAAGC
rnacentral:misc_RNA from 1 species